GUGUUUAACUUCGAAAUGCAAGUUCUACCUCUGGUAUAUUGGAACAACCUGUGUGCAAAACAUUCUCCUUUGCUAGCGAGCUCGAGUAACAUUUGACCCACUGACUUACUUUUCAGCUUGUUCAUCACAUCCGGACCAGACGUCAAAUAUCUGUUGGGGUUCGUAAGAACUCAACUCAGCACAACCACCACCAUCGUACUGAUACUGGCCCUAAGUUCUACCGAAUCGCAGUCGGUCAAGGUGACGAGUACGACGCCAGAGCCCAAGCCAGAGGAGCUGCCGCGUCAUUCUACCUAAACGGGAUUGAGCCCGACGAGGAAGACAUCAGCAUCUAUCGGGAAAAUGAGGAACUAAAGGAGGAGGUCCAAAAACUCGCUGCACAAAUCGAGUUCAUGAAAAUCGUACACAUGGAGGCCAACAACCGACACCUGAAGCCUCGCCGCGAGGGGUACUUUUCUCAGAGCCUUCACGGAAGAAGAAAAUCCAGCAUGGGGGCAGCACUUCGUCUAGAGGCGUACACGAAUUUGCCUCAAGAUGGACUCUCUCAGUCGGGAAAUGAAGUGUAAAUUGGUGUGUUCGGGCUGUGUUGCAUAACGCAACAAAACAUGAGAUUGAAACGUGUUUGUGUUAGAUGUAAGCGCUGCUCAGGAAGGGUGUUGUUUGAAUCACGCACGUGCGCGUGCUACACAGGCUGAUACAUGUUGUGUCACGUGAUUUUCGUUAGGCAUGUGUUAAGUGAGAUUCAACGUUGAAUGUGGGGAAAAAUAACGUUGAAAUGUAGUCUUAGAGACGAAGGUGACAUCGGUGGCGGAUGGUAUCUUGAUAAUGCGUCCACUUUGUUGUAUUUUGAUGUAAGCAGAUCAGGUGAGGAGUCGCGUACCAAUAAUAUUUGGUUUGUUGUUUGCGUUUACUACGACGAAGAAGGAAAUGAUCUCGUGUUUUAGGCAUCGUUUUUGUCGCUGUUGCAUGUCUCAAUCUAAUGAGGUAUGUUCAUUGUAACACAGUGCUAAAUAAUCAGCUUUUAUUGAGCAUUGUAUUUUGUUUUUGUUUUUUUUUUUCUUUGUUUUUAGCGCCAAUUCGUAACACAUUCUAAUCAACAUCUGCUAACGUAAAAACUGUACAGCAUGUUGUGUAUUCGGUGUUGAUUUUUACUGCUGCAAUGAAAACAGCAGUGGCGCAUCGCUUUUCGACGUGAUACUGUUCCAAGAUGGCGGGUACUCUUCACUGAGGUGUGUUUAUGUAGAUAAUGUAAUAAAGUAAAUGGCUAAUUGU